rnacentral:rRNA from 1 species
GGAUUGGGAGGGUUCUACGGAACCCGUUUGGUGAAUCUAGUGCCGAGAAAAGCCUUCUAUGUGUUGAAUUUCUAGUACCCGUACCCCAAACCGACACAGGUGGGUGGGUAGAGCAUACCUAGGGGCGCGUGAUAACUCUCUCUAAGGAACUCGGCAAAAUGGCCCUGUAACUUCGGGAUAAGGGGUGCCUGCGUGAGCAGGCCGCAGUGAAAUGGCUCUGGCGACUGUUUACCAAAAACACAGGUCUCUGCUAAGUCGUAAGACGAUGUAUAGGGGCUGACUCCUGCCCAGUGCCGGAAGGUUAAGGAAGUUGGUUAGCGCAAGCGAAGCUGGCGACCGAAGCCCCGGUGAACGGCGGCCGUAACUAUAACGGUCCUAAGGUAGCGAAAUUCCUUGUCGGGUAAGUUCCGACCCGCACGAAAGGAGUAACGAUCAGAGCGCUGUCUCGGAGAGAGACACGGCGAAAUAGGAUUGUCCGUGAAGAUACGGACUACCUGCACCCGGACAGAAAGACCCUAUGAAGCUUUACUGUAACUUGGAAUUGUGUUCGGACUUUGUCUGCGCAGAAUAGGUGGGAGGCUAUGAAACGUUCCUCGCGGGGAACUGGAGCCAUCGUUGAGAUACCACUCUGGCAGAGUCUGGAUUCUAACCUACGGGGACAGUUCCAGGUGGGCAGUUUGACUGGGGCGGUCGCCUCCUAAAAUGUAACGGAGGCGCGCAAAGGUUCCCUCAGGCUGGUUGGAAAACAGCCAUAGAGUGUAAAAGCAUAAGGGAGCUUGACUGUAAGACCUACAAGUCGAGCAGGGACGAAAGUCGGCUUUAGUGAUCCGACGGCACUGAGUGGAAGGGCCGUCGCUCAACGGAUAAAAGUUACUCUAAGGAUAACAGGCUGAUCUCCCCCAAGAGUUCACAUCGACGGGGAGGUUUGGCACCUCGAUGUCGGCUCGUCGCAACCUGGGGCGGUAGUACGUCCCAAGGGUUGGGCUGUUCGCCCAUUAAAGCGGCACGUGAGCUGGGUUCAGAACGUCGUGAGACAGUUCGGUCCAUAUCCGGUGUAGGCGUAGGAGCAUUGAAAGGAUCUCUCCUUAGUACGAGAGGACCGGGAGGGACGUACCUCUGGUGUACCUGUUAUCGUGCCAACGGUAAACGCAGGGUAGCCAUGUACGGAGUGGAUAACCGCUGAAAGCAUCUAAGUGGGAAGCCCACCUUAAGAUGAGUGCUCCCUUGAGGCCACGGGAAGACGACCCGUUUGAUAGGCGCUAGGUGGAAGUGCAGUAAUGCAUGCAGCCGAGGCGUACUAAUAGGCCGAUGGC